CCUGGCUCAGAUUGAACGCUGGCGGCAUGCUUUACACAUGCAAGUCGAACGGGGUUGGGGAGCUUGCUUCCAAUCUAGUGGCGAACGGGUGAGUAAUACAUCGGAACGUACCGUGUAGUGGGGGAUAACGUAGCGAAAAGUUACGCUAAUACCGCAUACGAUCCACGGAUGAAAAGCAGGGGACCUUCGGGCCUUGUGCUAUACGAGCGGCCGAUGUCUGAUUAGCUAGUUGGUGAGGUAAAGGCUCACCAAGGCGACGAUCAGUAGCGGGUCUGAGAGGAUGAUCCGCCACACUGGGACUGAGACACGGCCCAGGCUCCUACGGGAGGCAGCAGUGGGGAAUUUUGGACAAUGGGCGCAAGCCUGAUCCAGCCAUGCCGCGUGUCUGAAGAAGGCCUCGGUUGUAAGGACGUUUUAGUUCGUAGGAGGACGAAAACGUUAAACUUACGGUUAAA
rnacentral:rRNA from 1 species